GCUAAUCCCACUAAAGAGUCCUUAUCAAUAGUGGGGGUUGGCACCUCGAUGUUGGCUUAGGGAAACUAUGCGGCGCAAAAGUCGCAUAAAGAUGGUUUGUUCAACCAAUAACUCCCUACAUGAGCUGAGUUCAGACCGGCGUAAGCCAGGUUAGUUUCUAUCCUCGACCACCUUAAUCCCACCCAUAGUACGAAAGGACCUGAGUAGGGGUAAUAAUUACAUAAAAAGAACAAAUAUAAUGAAAUUUAAAAGCAAUUAUUCAUAUACUAUG
rnacentral:rRNA from 1 species